UUACGGCCACAUCACGUUGAAACAUUGGUUACCGUACAAUCACCGAAGUUAAGCAACGUCGAAACUGGUUAGUACUUAAAUGGGUGACCGCUUGGAAAUACCAGAUGCUGUAAG